GAUGAACGCUGACAGAAUGCUUAACACAUGCAAGUCUUUGGCGAAUCUGUGCUUGCACAGGCUAGCCAAGGCGGACGGGUGAGUAACGCGUAAAGAACUUGCCCUGCAGACAGGGAUAACAGACGGAAACGACUGAUAGCACCUGAUACAGUUGCCGGCACGCAUGUGCCUGGCAAUGAAAAGAGAUGCUGCAGGAGAGCUUUGCGUCCUAUUAGCUUGUUGGUGAGGUGACGGCUCACCAAGGCGAUGAUAGGUAGCCGGCCUGAGAGGGUGAACGGCCACAAGGGGACUGAGAUACGGCCCUUACUCCUACGGGAGGCAGCAGUGGGGAAUAUUGGACAAUGGGGGCAACCCUGAUCCAGCAAUUCUGUGUGCACGAAGAAGGUUUUCGGAUUGUAAAGUGCUUUCAGCAGGGAAGAAGAAAGUGACGGUACCUGCAGAAGAAGCGACGGCUAAAUACGUG
rnacentral:rRNA from 1 species